UUGUCAGAAAACCAACUAUCAGUCCUCUCAGAUAGCAUCAAGGGACUGAAAUUCACCAGAUCCCUGCAUCCAGAUGGUGAGACAGCAGACCCCUCAACCAUCAUAACUGACUAACCAACCACUUGCUUCUUGUUGACCUACUCCUCUUCCUUAUCCCUCCCUAAUUCCUGUUUUGGCACACAUAGUUACAUUCUUUCCCCACUCUACAAAACUCUAAUUUUAGUCAGGUGGAUUUGAGACUUAUCUCCCAUCUCCUGGCUGACAUCAUCCACAUUAAAACCUUCUUCCCUAGCAAUACUCGUUGUUUCAAUGGAUAGCUUUCGAUACAGUGAGAAACCACAGCUUGGCCAACACCCAGGCAUUCAGCAAUAAAAUUCUGGUGCUGUGACUUGGAUUGCAGUGCUUGUGGCUCAGUGGCCACAGGCUAGAGAGAUCUGGAAACCCUCCCAGCAGCUGCCCAGCUAUAUUCAUCCAGAGGCGGGUUUUUGUUUCUCUCUCUUCCCUCACUGCUGCUGGCCCCAACCAUAUUCUUGAUUACUUAUGAAGGACAGGCUUUGAAAUUUGACAUCUGUAUCCAUCAAGCCCAGCUUGAGCUCUGCUUCAGAUAAUUUAAGAUGUACCAGGUGGCACUUCAGGCUAGAAAACUCUGUGGUCUCCCAGCAACUUAAAGGAAGAUGAGGGUAAGGAAACUGAAAUAUGACAAGGUUAAAUGAUUCAGAUGAGGGGCCGGAAAGCACGCCUCCCGAGACCCAUUCCUGGAAGCGGGUCUUUAAAGCUGCUCUCAGUUUAAAAUCAACCAAAUGCUCAGAUAUCAGAUGCGGAAACUGAGGCACAGGGAAUUUGAACAACUUGCUCAAGGUCAUAAAGCUAGAAGGAGGCACAGCCAAGCAUGGGCUUGUGUGACCUCAAAGCCUAUGUUCUCGCCACUGCUCUAAACUGUUUAUUCUGUUGGCUUGUCAUAAUGAUUGAAGACAAUGUAUAUAAAUCACAGAGGGUAGGACUCAGCUUGUAAUAUGUCCUCCAUACAUUUUAUCGAACAUUAUUAAUUAAUAAACAACAGAUAAAUAACAACAGUGCUUUGUUUGAUUAAAUUAUAUAUAUGAUUAUAUUUCUUCAGUGAAAUUGUUGGUUAUGCAUUUCUUACAAAUAAUUCACAAAUAUUAAUGAAUGUCUGUGUUGCAGCAGGCAUUUUGCUCACCACGGUGGACCUGGGGGUAUGUGAAAUAGGCACCAUCUCUGCUCUCACAAAUUUAAUACGUGCAGGCUGCUGGAUUGGACUAAAGUCCUGAGGAGAACUAUAACAAUCUCUUAGAGGGAACAGUGAUUAAACAGGGAUCAAUUGUGCCACCCAUAUAGCCUUCCUACUUACUGAUCAAGAAUGAUAGCAGACCUUAGCAAGUGCAAAUCAACAAGAGGAAUCCAAUGGUGCUAUUCACUACUAUGAAGCUUUUCAUUUUGCCUCUUACUAAGAUUUCAAAGCUAUUCUUGCCCCCCACCCCACACAAAAACAAAUACUGUGCAAUCUCACUUACAUGUGGAAUCUGAAAAAGUUGAACUCGUAGAAGCAGAGAGUACAAUAGUGGGUGCCAUGGGCUGGGGGUGGAGGAAAUGGGAGAUGAUAGUCAAGGGUACAAACUUUCAGUUAUAAGAUGAACAAGUUCUGGGGCUCUAAUGUACACGAUGGGUGGUGAUGAAUGUUUUAAUUAAUUUGAUUAUUGUAAGAAUUACACAAUGUAUACAUUUAUCUAAUCAUCAUAUUAUAUACCUU
rnacentral:lncRNA from 10 species